rfam:Bombyx mori DNA, contig: Bm_scaf15_contig11629, strain: p50T/Dazao, build 2, whole genome shotgun sequence.
UAACGUUGAUUAUCUAUACGUUGAUAUAUUAAAAUUGGAAUGAAACAAAGGAGUUUAUCAUGGCCCGUACUUAAGAAUUACAUGAAACAUCCUGAAACCUUCCACUUCUUU